UCGCCUGGACACCAUUUCAUUUUUCCCGAACCAGGCUCGUGUUGUCGCCGUCCUCUUUCUGAGGCUCACGAAUUCAUUGACAAUGUUGCGGUCUGCGCAGCUCCGCAGCCUCGACACCAAAUAUUUGCUUUGUGGGUUGCGCUGGAGGUAUGCCUUUGGAAGAGAUUUAAGCUGUACAGCCGUUGGGUUGACCAGAUUCGGAAGAAUUUGUUAGAAUUGGGUCUAUCUUUCACUUUCUCAUACUCUCGCGCUGUAGCUCUCGUUGUGGCUGCAGAACCCUUGCGAUCCUUUUCUUGCAGGGGCUCUUGAGACGAUUGAAAGUGUGGAGGUGAAGGAUCGCGUUUGUGUUUUGUGCAUGCAGGUGUGAGUGAUGGGGCUGUCUUCAUAGGAUGAGUUGCAUUGCAGAACAGUGGGCAGGGCAUGUUACAAGCAUGGGAUGAAGGUAGCCGCAGCAGUUCACAGUUGUGAUGCAAAGAAGCUGUAUGUGACCAUGAAAGACGUGGCCAGGCCUUCUUAAGUUGGAUAUGAUGGAUGUUUUCUGUAUGAUCACACGACCGUCUCACUAUUUGUCGAUGUUCAGGUGGAUAAUCCCAUCGGUCGUUAGUGCAAUUGAGGUGGUAGCUUGAGCAAAAUUUGAGUCUUAUUGACGAGGUUUUCAUUGUUAACUCCAGUUGUGUGGUUGUAAUUCUGUGCGAGAGAAGCCUUUUCUGAGAAAAUUUAAGACCAUUCUGAGAAUAAACCGGAAGCAUCUGGUAGUUGUGUGCUAUCGUCCUUCUCAAUGGCUUUCUUCGAUUUGA